rnacentral:rRNA from 1 species
UACGUAGGGGGCAAGCGUUGUCCGGAUUUAUUGGGCGUAAAGAGCGUGUAGGCGGCCAGGUAGGUCUGCUGUGAAAACUCGAGGCUUAACCUCGAGCUGUCGGCGGAAACCAUCUGGCUAGAGUCCGGAAGAGGAGAAUGGAAUUCCCGGUGUAGCGGUGAAAUGCGCAGAUAUCCGGAGGAACACCGAAGGCGAAGGCAGUGUCCUGGCGCGUAACUGACGCUGAGGUGCGAAAGCCAGGGGAGCGAACGGG